rnacentral:rRNA from 1 species
GACGAACGCUGGCGGCGUGCUUAACACAUGCAAGUCGAACGGUGAAGCUCCAGCUUGCUGGAGUGGAUCAGUGGCGAACGGGUGAGUAACACGUGAGCAACCUGCCCCUGACUCUGGAAUAAGCGCUGGAAACGGCGUCUAAUACUGGAUACGAGAAGGGUCCGCAUGGGCACUUUCUGGAAAGUUUUUCGGUUGGGGAUGGGCUCGCGGCCUAUCAGCUUGUUGGUGAGGUAAUGGCUCACCAAGGCGACGACGGGUAGCCGGCCUGAGAGGGCGACCGGCAACACUGGGAAAGAGAAACGGCACAGACUCAGACGGGAGGAAGCAGGGGGGAAUAGUGAACAAGGGGCGAAAGCAGGAUGCAGCGACGACGAGGGAGGGAUGAAGGCCUUAGGGGGGUAAACAUAUUGCAGCAGGGAAGAAGCGAAAGUGACGGUACCUGCAGAAGAAGCACCGGCUAACUACGUG